GUGCUUGCUUCGGCAUCACAUAUACUAAAACUGGAAUGAUACAGAAGAGAUUAGCAUGGCCCCUGUGCAAGGAUGAAACACAAACUUGUGAAGCAUUCUAUAUUUUU